ensembl:lncRNA
CUCCCCUCAUAUCAAUACAAUACAUCUAUGUACAUCUCUACUUAUCACCAAUAUGCAGCCAGAAAUAUAUCAAGUGCAUUGAGAGAAAGGUAAGAAAAAAAGGAGAACAUUUAUUAAGGGAUAUGUAAAUAUUCACACAACUGAGGUUUUUUGUUUCAUGAAAAGCCUUCCUCUGAAGAUCGGAAAGUCAAUAUUGAACACUAGUUUGGUUGACGUUAUGUAUUUAUCUCUGACCAAGAUCGUUUAUGUGGGGGCGGAUACGGGCUUUUCAGGAAUUAAGUCACUGGAUAUGGAGAGAGGUAUUUGCUGGCUAUGGCUCGGGCUCCCUGCCGCCAUCUAGUGGCCACACAAAUAACACGCAGUUACAAAAAUGCCAAUGUGUUAUGGUAUAUUCCUAACAGGGCAAAUCUUAGGAAGAGUUAGAUUGUCUGCGUUUCCGAUCAUUUUUGUGUACUACAAAUAUUACUGGAUGCUUAACGUUGAGACUGAAUUUCUUCCUCAUCAUACAAUGAAUUUGGGCGAAUCAGUGACAACGAAGACAGCACAAAGAUAGAAUAAAGAAUCAGCCUUCUGUGCUGCCCCCUAGUGGUGCACGUUUGACAAAAGCCCCGAUGGCGCACGAUGCACAUUGACUUCGGUCUAGAAAUAAGUGAAGCUUAGCAAAAACAUCCUCAACUGAGGACUAUUCAGCUAUUCAGUAUCAAUGACUACACAUACAAAAAAGGAACAAUUCACCUAUCAUUGUGUAUGCAACCAAUGAUACCAACUGCCACCUCUUAAUCCAACCAGAACAAUAACUUAAGUACUUUAGAAUCUCGAUGAUUGUCUUAAAUCGUCCUUCAUUUUGUAUCACAAUCAUAUUUGGGUGGUGCAUUAUAAAAACCAAAAAAUCAAAUCAUGGGCCCAACUGAAUGUGGAUCUUCAGUUGGGGAAGGGGGAGGAAGGGAGAGAGAGGUGUACUCAGAGGAAAGAGGUAGGGGGAGGAAGGGAGAGAGAGAGAGAGAGAGAGAGAGAGGUUUACUCAGAGGGAAGAGAGAGAGGGAGGAAGGGAGAGAGAGGGAGGAGGAAGGGAGAGAGAGAGGUGGGGAAGGGAGAGAGAGUGGUACUCAGGGAGAAGACGUGGAGGUCUAGCUGGACUCGGGGAUGGCGUCGUCCUCAUAGAGAUCCUCCAGCUCCCCGUCGAUGCUGCCCCUCCUGUGGACCACACAGCUCUCAUUACAUCAUGCGUGAAGGCCCUUCACCCUCAUUGGCUCAGCUACGCCUUAACGAGGCUGUAUUCACCCUCAUUGGCUCAGCUACGCCUUAACGAGGCUGUAUUCACCCUCAUUGGCUCAGCUACGCCUUAACGAGGCUGUAUUCACCCUCAUUGGCUCAG